CUGACUGAAUGGAAAUUUGUGUUGCUAUGAUUUUUUUUUUUUUCAUCUCAAAAGAAAAUUUAAUACAAAAUCAACUUUGUGCGGCAUGAACAUCUGUUGUUUCAUAUAUCCAUAUAAAAUAAUAAUUUAGAUUCAGAUCAUAAGAACUUGUAUAUCCUUUGACAUAUGUGAUAAAGAUGUCUCGAGUCUUGACAUAAGAUAUUCUAUGUUUACCUAAACUAAGUAUUGGCUGAGUGAGAUGGUACUUCUUGUUGUCAAUUACUUUCAGCCAAUCGAGUUUGUGGCACUAGUUUACUAGUAUCCUUUUUUUAUUUGGACAUAAGCUUUCUACACAUCUAUAUUAGUUGGAGUAGGCUACGGUAGCAAACAUGGAUGCAUGUCGAGGCGUUAGAAUAGCCAUAAACUUUUAUAUCUAGGUUGCGUGCGUGUGAAUAGAAUAUCAUAUGCAGGUAAUAGGAUAUAUACAACUAAUACUCAUAAUUAAUGUGUAUAUACCUGUCUGGCCUCUUGACGAAAAUAAUGAACAUUCCUUUGGUUUUAAGGAUGGAUGCCAUUAUUGUAUACAUUUGACUAGCAUUUACCCAGGAGUUCAUGUAUUGAACUAAUUUUUGAAAUCGAUUUUUUGCUUUCCUUCCGUAUGAUAUGAUCUAUCAUUUUGUGGGAUUACACUGAAUAUGUUGUUGUUAUUGUUACGAUGAAAAUAGUACAUUAUCAACACUUGCCCUCUGAACAACGGGAAUGCUACAUUAAUACAGAUAUUUUUGAAGUUGGCAUUCAAGCGACAGAACAAGUAAUGGUUAUCAGAACUAGACAUUGACAUCAGAACUAGACAAAGACAGUAAUAUUUUUUCCUGUGUAGUUAGGCGUUUCAGUUGAGAUUCCCUUCUAGUCGAGGAAAAAAUAUUUCUUCCCUAAUUACUUAAUGUUAUGUGAAGUGGGAUUGAGGAAGUGUCAAGGAACUGAGAGAGAACAUUAUUGCUUCUACUUGCAUUCUAGGGGGAAUGCAGGUCAAAGUGGCCAUAUGAACACCUGGAGGAUAUUUCCUAGUCUCUUAUUCCUCAAUUUUAGCAGAGAAGAAACUCCGAACCUUGCCAACUAAAAGAAAACAUCUUUAGAAGAAAAUUCUGAUGGUUCGAUGUCAGCUUGCCGCUAUUAGGGAAGAGGUCAUCUUGUGUUUCCUCACAAACCAUUCUGUAAUCCAUCGACAUAGCCGGAGUCGCAGUAAAGAAAGAAGUUCUUGCAGAUAUCGUUGACGUUCAAGAUAUCACUCACAGUCAUGCACUCGCUCUCACUCGCAUUCACCUUCGCGUUCUUAAUCUAGUUCAUGCUCUCUUUCUCGUUUCACUUCCCGAUCUCGUUCACCUAGACAUGACUGGAUGCAUAAACCUUAUCAAGAUGAACUGAGUGUUAGCUGUGGGCGAUAUAUAUUACUGAUGUAUUGUUGUACUGAUACACUUAUGCUGAAGCUGAAUUUGAGUUGGUAGUGUAAACUACUUUUUCUAUAUUUGUAUUUAUUGUUUUCUGUUGCUUCUGAACUCCCUAAAAGAUAUUUAGCGCGAUAAUUCAAUUAUUUCAGCUCCUUUUAGGAUAAUGUAUCACAUCGGCACUUGUACCUUUUACAUGUUUUACCUAGUGAAUUUUUCGAAGUUGAAAAAGAUUUAACUGUCUCCUUAUAAGGGAAGAAUUGGUUAAAAUUGAAGUUCUAUGAGAGUGCACUUAUGUAAAUCAACGUUCUAUUUUCUUUUCUUUAGAUCUCCGUAACUGAAUCUCGAGUGUCCAUUUACAAUUUGGUUCUAUGUAAUUGAAUCUCGGAAACUGAGUUUAGCUUCGAAAUAAAAAUGGUUAAAGAAGCAGGAGGUGAAUGUCUUUUUCAACUUCUCCAUCUCCCAUAAGUAUAUGAGAAUUGUAU